rnacentral:rRNA from 1 species
CAGCCGCCGCGGGAAUACGGAGGGUGCAAGCGUUAAUCGGAAUUACUGGGCGUAAAGCGCACGCAGGCGGUCUGUCAAGUCAGAUGUGAAAUCCCCGGGCUUAACCUGGGAACUGCAUUUGAAACUGGCAGGCUAGAGUCUUGUAGAGGGGGGUAGAAUUCCAGGUGUAGCGGUGAAAUGCGUAGAGAUCUGGAGGAAUACCGGUGGCGAAGGCGGCCCCUGGACAAAGACUGACGCUCAGGUGCGAAAGCGUGGGGAGCAAACAGGAUUAGAUACCCCUGUAGUCCCUGUCUCUUAUACA